rnacentral:rRNA from 1 species
AACGAACGCUGGCGGCAGGCCUAACACAUGCAAGUCGAACGCAUCCUUCGGGGUGAGUGGCAGACGGGUGAGUAACGCGUGGGAACGUGCCCUUCAGUUCGGGAUAACCCAGGGAAACUUGGGCUAAUACCGGAUACGUGCGAGAGCAGAGAGAUUUAUCGCUGAAGGAUCGGCCCGCGCAGGAUUAGCUAGUUGGUGGGGUAAUGGCGCACCAAGGCGACGAUCAGUAGCUGGUCUGAGAGGAUGAUCAGCCACAUUGGGACUGAGACACGGCCCAAACGCCUACGGGAGGCAGCAGUGGGGAAUAUUGGACAAUGGGCGCAAGCCUGAUCCAGCCAUGCCGCGUGAGUGAUGAAGGCCUUAGGGUUGUAAAGCUCUUUCGUCCGGGACGAUAAUGACGGUACCGGAAGAAGAAGCCCCGGCUAACUUCGUGCCAGCCGCCGCCGUAA